ACGCUCGACACCUACGGGAGGUAGCAGUAGGGAAUCUUCCACAAUGGGCGGCAAGCCUGAUGGAGCAACACCGCGUGAGUGAAGAAGGGUUUCGGCUCGUAAAGCUCUGUUGUUGGAGAAGAACGUGCGUGAGAGUAACUGUUCACGCAGUGACGGUAUCCAACCAGAAAGUCACGGCUAACUACGUGCCAGCAGUCGCGGUAAUCUGAGCGGGCUGGCAAGGC
rnacentral:rRNA from 1 species